rnacentral:rRNA from 1 species
AGUCGAACGAUGAUUUCUAGCUUGCUAGAAUGAUUAGGUGGCGAACGGGUGAGUAAUGUAUCGGAACGUAUCCAAUAAAUGGGGGAUAACUAAUUCGAAAAGGUUGGCUAAUACCGCAUACGCCCUACGGGGGAAAGCAGGGGAUUCUUCGGACCUUUGCGUUAAUGGAGCGGCCCGAUAUCUGAUUAAGCUAGUUGGUGAGGUAAAAAGCUCACCCAAGGCGACGAUCCAGUAGCUGGUCUGAGAGGACGACCAGCCACACUGGAACUGAGACACGGUCCCAGACUCCAUACGGGAGGCAGCAGUGGGGAAUUUUGGACAAUGGGCGAAAGCCUGAUCCAGCCAUUCCGCGUGAGUGAAGAAGGCCUUCGGGUUGUAAAGCUCUUUCGCAAGGGAAGAAACGAUGCAGUCGAAUAAACUGUGUUAAUGACGGUACCUUGAUAAGAAGCACCGGCUAACUACGUGCCAGCAGCCGCGGUAAUACGUAGGGCGCAAGCGUUAAUCGGAAUUCUGGGCGUAAAGCGUGCGCAGGCGGUUUUGUAAGUCAGAUGUGAAAUCCCCGAGCUCAACUUGGGAACUGCGUUUGAAACUACAAGACUAGAAUAUGUCAGAGGGGGGUAGAAUUCCACGUGUAGCAGUGAAAUGCGUAGAGAUGUGGAGGAAUACCAAUGGCGAAGGCAGCCCCCUGGGAUAAUAUUGACGCUCAUGCACGAAAGCGGGGGGAGCACACAGCGAUUAAAUACCUUGGUAGUCCACGCCUAAUACGAUGUCUCUUUGUCGGGGGUGAGUAAAUCCAUGAUAACCUCAUGCUCACACCGAAUAACCCCUGGGGGUUCGCACAAAGUAACCCUAAGAUUGCGAGGGAUCCGCCCUAUCAUCCCU